rnacentral:lncRNA from 1 species
ACCUCGAGGCAGCUCGUCCGCCUGUGAGGCAGGAUUUCCGAGGAGCCCACUAGGUGGUGCGUGAGCUGCGGCGAUGGUGACCGGCUGUGCUGGACCAGUCACCGCCCGCCUCCCAGGACCCCCCUCAGGCCAGAGGCCCCCAGCUCACAAGCCGGCCCUGAAUCCUCCCUGUUCCUGGGCCCGUCUCCACGUUCUUCCUCUGGGAAAGCAGGGCCCAGGCUUCUGCUCCCUCUUAAUACAGCACACGUGAACACUUUGGGAGUGUCGCCUUAAAAAUAAAAAACACAACGUGAGAGUUGAGAGUUAAGUUUUACUUGGGACAGAAUGAGGACUAGAACCUGGGUGGCAGCAUUCAGAGAGACCCAAGAAACUACUCCAAAAAACUGGGACCUCAGUGAGUCCGGACACCAGGCCAAGUGUGGAAAAGAAAGGAAGAAGCAAGAGAGGAGGCAUCCGUUGAUGAACUUCAGAUGCCAAGAUAAAGGAGACUUGCUUUUCGACGAGAUGACACUGGCCCUGCUGGUCGGGCUUCCGGGGAGAGGAGGUCUGAACUGCUUGGCUGCUGUCUACUGACUGAUAAUGGGAUGAAAACAACACACAUCAAACAGUGAGCGGGGCUGUUAACAAGGUAGCCCUUCCUGGGAUCCUGGCGCCUUCAUCCAGUCAGGCCGGUGCCUUGAGCACCCACCCAAAAGUGGCGAGGGGAGUUCCUUGGGACCCUUCAAGUCCUAGCGUGUGGGGGAGAGCCCCCGGCUCCGGGAACGGCAAGCGGCAGGUAAGGUCUUCCUGGAAGGCGCCGUCCCCCUCUCCGGGCUGGCUCUGCAGCCUUUCCCUCGGAGUCACAGUCUAGGAAGCAGGCUCCUCGCUAAGUAUUUGGCAUUUGAUCCUCAGAACGGUCAUCUUGCCGGAACUCGGCCUCUGUUCGCUGGUGCUCAAUAGAAACGCGGAGACGGAGCUUUGGAUGAAGUAGAGAAGGCAGGCCUGAUUGCUUUGCCAGGAAGGGGGGGCCACAGCGGGCCAGGGCCCUCGGAACUUUUGGGGGGGGCGGUGAGGAGUCUCACAGUGUCAAGGAGCAGGGCGUGGCCAGCUCGUGGGCGUUCUUCUGAUGGGUGGGUGGUGAGGUCACGGGGAGUCCGCGCCGUCACCCCUCUGGUUCCAGUUGGUCUGGGGUCUCCGUGCUUGUGGGCAGCACACGGUUGGCUUCCUCCCCGUGGUGGGGGUGAACCGCUCCGAGGACAUGGCUCGGAAUAGUAUCUCUGGUCUUUGAGAAAGAAUGUAAGGUCCUUGACUUUGUUGAGUGGCUAAAGUAUUAUUAUUUUGUCUUGCUGGACUGUUUUUCCUUUCGCUUUGCAUUUUCUCAGGUCUCUGAUUAAGUUUGAUUUUUUUGGACUAAAGUUUUUCUACAGACCAAAGGCAGGCAGAGGACCUGGGGGCGGGGGCGGGAUCUGUUCUGGAAAGGCCCCAUAGCGUCCGGCUCGGUUACCCUAAAGAGAGGUAUUUUUUCCCCAUUUGACAGUUGGGAGAAGGGAACCCCAACAGCAAAAAAGUCUCAGGAGGACUCAGGCCUCCUGAAACGGCAUGGCCCCUGCUGCCCCUGUGGCUUUUCUGAAGAUGCAGCCCAGUUGAGUCUGAUUUGCUGAUUAUUGCAGACCUCUGGGCAUGAAGCUCUGAAAUCGAGAAGCGGGUGUGGCUGGUGAUGAACAGGUAAACCGCACAGUCAGCUCAGCGCAUGGAGAGUCCAGUGUCUGUUGUUGUUGCUGUCAUCCUCUGGGGAAGCCAGUUUUUAGUGCUCAAAGUUUAGUAAAACAAUUUCCUACACUCGUUUAAUCAUUUCCACUUUACAAACAAACUGAGGUUUCAGCAUACCAGGGAACUUGUCCUGGCUGAUUCUGCAGGUUACGGGGAGCCAGGACUUCUGACCCAAGUCUGGAGGGAUGCUUCUCUGGCUUGGAGGAUCAAUGAAAAAUCAAAUCUGAGUUGUUCCACUGAGGUGAUGGAGUGUGCGAUUACUACAGCCUCUUAGAUAUUUAAAAUCGUAUGUUGCAAAAGACCAGUCCUACCCAUUUGCUGGGUGAGCGGGUGUUGGUACCACAAGCCAUCCUCAUACUUAAGCACAGUGGAUUGGAACGUACGGCAAAUAAACAGCGUUUUUUCCUGGCUCAGUGAGGGUAACGGCUGCUUUUGAAGAAUUAUUGCAGGUGUUUCUAGGCGAUGAAUAAAGUUACUGAGGUCGUGCAGGUGGAGCAUCUAGGCAUGGAAUUUAGAAAUUUCAAGAACUCGAAAAUUUUCCUUCCACCCCCUCCAGCUCACACAGUGAACGUGAUUAAGCGCUUCACGGGGUGGGACCCUGCGGAGGCCACCGAGGUGGGCGACACGGCUCCCCUCCCAGACCCCAUGUGGUCGGGAAACUGCACUGAAGGGCUCUGGCCGCACUGCAGAGGGUCUCACGGUGUCCAGCGGGCCAGCUCCCAGGGGACCUAACGGAAAGAAGAAUGGACGGAUGAAAAUCCGCAAGUCCUCAGGCCGUCCUCUCCCCACAGCCCGUCUGGAGGCACCCCAGAGGCCGACUGACUCUUUGCCUCUAAAUAUUUCAUCUGUGUGGCAACGGGACAGACUCAGGUGAGAAAACUGGAGUCAGUGUCACAGGGCCAACUUGGGCAGCCCUUUGGCGAGGCCACCUGCUUGAGCAGCUGGACGAUGGUAGUUAGGGAGGUCAGACGCCUCAUCUAAGCCCUGGCUUGGCCGCUUAUGGUCUGCCCUCCGUUGUGUUGCUUUAUCAACCUGGACCUCAGUUCGCUCAUCUUUAAAAUGGGGAUACAGGAGUCCCUGGUGGCUUAGUGGUGCAUGGCUUGACUUUUGUCACUGCUGUGGCUCUGGUUGCAUCCCUGGCUGUGGAGUUUCUGCAUGCCACAGGCCCAGCCACAUACAUUUAAAAAAUAAAUAAAAUUGGGAUAUGAACAGCCCGUAGCUCAAAGGAACUGAAAAUCAAAUAGCGAGCCAAGUGUGGCAGAAUUCCACUUUCCUUGUCCACAUGAUGCAUAGAUAAUAGUUGUCUUAUUUUCUAUCAUAGGAUGGUGCUGAGGGGCCAGGAAAAAAAAAAAAA